rnacentral:tRNA from 1 species
GCAGUCGUGGUCUAGCGGUAUGAUUCCAACCACCCUAGCUGGAUGCCCGGGUUCGACUCCCGGCGACUGCA